CAUAUAAGGUUGAAACAUCGGUUCUCGUACGAUCACCGAAGUUAAGCAACGUCGUGCCUGGUCAGUACCUAGGUGGGUGACCGCUUAGGAAUACCAAGUGUU
rnacentral:rRNA from 1 species